CCUUCACACUGGCCAUGUAGGAUCGUUAAAAGCAACUCCACAACACAAGGGUCCUCUGAGAGACUGGGCAAGGAAGACACCUGCCUAAUUUCCUCGCAAGACAGAAAGCCCAACCUUUUGGGUCCUUGAAACACCCUCUUCUGAGUCUCUGCCAAGGAUGUAUGGAGUCUCUGGACCAGUCACUACAGACUGCCUUUGCUGAAGGACCUGUUGGCAUGAGAAGGCAUUUUUGAGAUGCAUUAAACAUGCUAGUUAUACAAAAGAGCGUGAUGAAAUUGUUGCAUUCGUACAUGAAGGCACAGAGGCGAGCAUCAUUUUCAUGAAACCAUCAAGAAGGGAUGCACCUGCUGUUUCAGGAACGCACAGCCAUGACACAGUUGUGCUGGAAACACAGCUUUGGACUGUGCCAUUUGGUGGGACAAUGACCAAGCCACAGUGCAGCUCAGGGAAAUCCAUGAAGCAGAAGAGGAAGGUCAUUGAAACAGCUUUUCUCCAGUUAACCAUAACUGCGUAAACUUACCAUUCCAGUCAACCUGUGCUCAUGCUACCAAAAGACACAAUGCCUGAAAUACAAUUUUCAAGCUA